rnacentral:rRNA from 1 species
GAUGAACGCUGGCGGCGUGCCUAAUACAUGCAAGUCGAGCGAACAGAUGAGGAGCUUGCUCCUCUGACGUUAGCGGCGGACGGGUGAGUAACACGUGGAUAACCUACCUAUAAGACUGGGAUAACUUCGGGAAACCGGAGCUAAUACCGGAUAAUAUAUUGAACCGCAUGGUUCAAUAGUGAAAGACGGUUUUGCUGUCACUUAUAGAUGGAUCCGCGCCGCAUUAGCUAGUUGGUAAGGUAACGGCUUACCAAGGCAACGAUGCGUAGCCGACCUGAGAGGGUGAUCGGACACCCUGGAACUGAGACACGGUCCAGACUCCUACGGGAGGCAGCAGUAGGGAAUCUUCCGCAAUGGGCGAAAGCCUGACGGAGCAACGCCGCGUGAGUGAUGAAGGUCUUCGGAUCGUAAAACUCUGUUAUUAGGGAAGAACAAAUGUGUAAGUAACUAUGCACGUCUUGACGGUACCUAAUCAGAAAGCCACGGCUAACUACGUG